UACGUAGGGUCCAAGCGUUGUCCGGAUUUAUUGGGCGUAAAGAGCUCGUAGGCGGUUCGGUAAGUCGGAUGUGAAAACUCGGGGCUCAACCCCGAGACGCCAUCCGAUACUGCUGUGACUUGAGUCUGGUAGGGGAACACGGAAUUCCUGGUGUAGCGGUGAAAUGCGCAGAUAUCGGGAAGAACACCCGUGGCGAAGGCGGCUCUCUGGGACGGUACUGGACGCUGAGACGCGAAAAGCGUGGGGAGCGAACAGG
rnacentral:rRNA from 1 species